CGGCGGACGGGUGAGUAACGCGUGGAUAACCUGCCUCACACAGGGGAGUAACAGUUAGAAAUGACUGCUAAUACCGCAUAAGCGCACGGUACCGCAUGGUACAGUGUGAAAAACUCCGGUGGUGUGAGAUGGAUCCGCGUCUGAUUAGGUAGUUGGUGAGGUAACGGCCCACCAAGCCGACGAUCAGUAGCCGACCUGAGAGGGUGACCGGCCACAUUGGGACUGAGACACGGCCCAAACUCCUACGGGAGGCAGCAUG
rnacentral:rRNA from 1 species